GACGAACGCUGGCGGCGUGCCUAAUACAUGCAAGUAGAACGCUGAAGGAGGAGCUUGCUCUUCUGGAUGAGUUGCGAACGGGUGAGUAACGCGUAGGUAACCUGCCUGGUAGCGGGGGAUAACUAUUGGAAACGAUAGCUAAUACCGCAUAAGAGUAGAUGUUGCAUGACAUUUGCUUAAAAGGUGCAAUUGCAUCACUACCAGAUGGACCUGCGUUGUAUUAGCUAGUUGGUGGGGUAACGGCUCACCAAGGCGACGAUACAUAGCCGACCUGAGAGGGGGAACGGGCACACUGGGACUGAGACACGGCCCAGACGCCUACGGGAGGCAGCAGUAGGGAAUCUUCGGCAAUGGACGGAAGGCUGACCGAGCAACGCCGGGGGAGGGAAGGAGGGUGUCGGAUCGGAAAGCUCUGUUGUAAGAGAAGAACGAGUGUGAGAGUGGAAAGUUCACACUGUGACGGUAUCUUACCAGAAAGGGACGGCUAACUACGUG
rnacentral:rRNA from 1 species